GAGGAGCCGCCGCCCACAGUGUCGCAGAGAGUAAGUAGAGGUGCAAGUUGUCGCUUAAGUAACACAUCGUGAGUAAUAGGACUCAAGAAAGAGGUUUAAUAAAAGUUAACAUGCCUGGACCGAACUGUGACGAUUGUAAAGAUAAAUGUCAAGGCUGCAAUUGCGGUGACAAUUGCAAAUGCAGCCAAGGAGGAUGUGGAGACAAAUGUAACUGUAAAUCAGGAUCAAAGUGUAAGUAAUAACCAAAUAAAUUAAGUACAUGAAUCAAUCUAUCAAUGGCUGCACCAACUGCAACAAAUUGAAACCGAAAUUCAACUGCACCACUACAAAAUGAAGUAUUUUUAUUUAAAUAAUUAAUUAACAUGCAUGUAAAAAAUAAAUAAAAUUUUGUUUGAAACUUGGCUAAUAAAGAUGCAAUCGAAAAACAAUUAAGA